CCCGCGCCCGCCCGCCGGCCCGCGUGCUGCAGCCGCCGCGGCCCGGGCGGGGCCGGGGGUGGGGGUGGGUUCGCUGGUUUGGAGGGUGGGUGGGGUUGGCUGUUUCUGGAAAGCUCAGCGGAGCUAAUCUAAUCUUCCAAGGCGCGUCCGCUGCCCGAGAGCAGCGCUCACAGUCCGCAGCGCCGGGAGGGCUCCGCGGCCUCCCCCUCCCGGCUCAGUAGAUCCAGAUCGUGUGAGUCUCUUUUAUUCCCGUUUUGCACGUGAGGCCACGGAGGCCGGGAUAGACCAGGAUCGCACACGUCUUGGGGGCCUACUCCGGACUCAAACCUACGUCUCUGUGACUCCAAAACUCAUAUUAUACUAUGACCUAGUAUUUGCUGGUGUAAGACGAAUGGUUCCGCUUUAGCGCAGAUGCAAGCGCCACCUUAUUUGGAGGACAGGCAGGUAGAUCUGCAGCUGUAAAACCCGAGGCCCCGAGGCGGGCUUGCACAGCUCCCCCGGCUCUCCGUCCACGUCCACGUCUCUGCUGUCCGCUGCUCCUAGAGCACCUUUCGACUCUUGGAAACAGGAACUGCCAGUUAAAAAGAAUACUACCUAUUUUAUUGAGCCUGAAGGGUUGAGGACAUCACAGACCAGAGGACGAGGCCCGGAGGGACGGGACUUUGUCUGCUGCCCUCUCGCAUCCCGACUGGUACACCUCAGUGAACAAUCUGUAAUGGACACAGUGCAUACAGCAAGGCCUUACUGCAAACCCGCGGAUGCAAAGCCUCUGAGAACCUCUCAGACACGGAAGGGGCCACGAGGCUU
rnacentral:lncRNA from 1 species